UGCAAAGUUGCAAUUGGCACCGGCAUUCUCAGGUCACUGUCAUCAGCUGUUGAAUGUAACUCUUUGAAUGCCUGCCAUUUUUACAAGAAGAGAAGCUAUUACUGCUAGAGAAAUUUGAAGCAUUCUGAUUUAUCCUUUCCUUAAUGCCUAUGUAAACAACUAUUUUGUUUUUUGCUUUAGUGACUCCUCAAACCUCUGAACAGUUCUCUUCUAUAAAACCACCACCAACAAAAAAAAAUUCUUUUGAUAAAGUUGCUAGAUGAAGUUUUUACAAGCUGCUAAAUAUUUGCAUUCUAUUUAGUAGUAAUAUUUAGUAGUGUGUGUGAGCAUGUGGUACGUCAUCACUUAAUAAACUGUCAUCUCCCUCAUUUGUGACACCAAUAGAGUUAAUGUGACACUUUGUUCAAUCACAAGUUGCUUGUACCGGUCGAAUUUGGAAAGAUUCGCCAAAUUCAUGAGCCUCCACAAUCCUUUAAUAGAUGGUGAUCUCAGGCAAAAGCGACCCAAUGCUGCCUGUCAAGGCACGAUCUUGAGUCCUCUGCAUUAUCUGUGGGUGCAUAUGCAGCAGGUCGGCCAUCUUUGAUCAGCUAUCCAUGGAAACAAGACAAAGACAAAAUACGGAGAAGACAGGUGUUGCCCCGGAGCCACAUCCGACCCAUCAUUUUUAUUUGGACCGUGAAGGCAAAUCAUUUGUGUCAACUUCAUGGCUCAUGCAAAUUGUCUUCACAUUAAACAACACUUGAGAUAUGAGAUCUAGCAAGAUUUUUUUUGUCACCAAUUCCCCGCUUUUAAAUUGAAUAAAUGGUUCAACAGUGUACUUGGCUUCUGAUUUCAAAAGUACUCAUCCAUCAAUUUGUUGUGUCAUGUAAGAUGGUCAUAGAGUAUCUGAAAGAUAUAUGCAAUACUUUCUUCUGCUUCCAGUGGAAAGGAGGAUAGACACCCAAAGCUAUGGAUAAGAUAGGUGGACAGGGAUUGAUGAGUCUUGUGCGAGUAGAAAACAGUGCGAAUUAGUAUUUGUGGUUUCAGCUGAGUGUGGAGACGAGAAGGGGAAAUAGUAUUUAUAUUUUUGUGUUAUAUGGUCCACACUGUUUCGAAGCAUUUUACUGACCGCCCUAAAAUAGUGGUGAUGAAAUGUAAUUUAAUGACAGUGCAUUAUAAAAUAAUAAUGGAUUGAGUGACUGACGGACUGAGCUGGCCUCAAAUAAUGAGACUGAAGAUGACAGGCUUUCAAAAAUAACCACAGUAGGCCAUCUCUCCAUCCUUCCAUCCAUCCAACCGGUGCAAAUGCUUCAUUUUUCAUAGUAGGUAUAACCUAGAUAUUCUGAUUUAGUCUUGUUUCCAUCGCUACCGAUCAAAGAUCGACUUGCUGAGCAUGCGCGCCUCAGAUCGUGCCUUGACACUGCCACCUGCUGGCCAUAAUUAGGAUUUUCACUUUCCCACCAACAGUUGACAAGAAGAAAGCGCAGCCAGGGAGAUUUUGAACAAAAAAAGAGCAUUAAGCAAUAGUUUGAAAAGCUUUCUUGUGUUUAUUUAAUAUGGUUUUAAUGUAGCGCUUUAAUGAUUACAUUUAGGUUGGUGUCUUUUGGCCAGAAUAAUUUAAAUGUGUCAAAGUUGAUUAGUUUGUUUACGACAGACCAAACGAGUUCAUUUUUCCAGUAAAAAGCGACUUCAAAGGUCAAAAUAUUCAUUAUUAUAUAAAAUAAAUCAGGAUACGUCGUUCCAAUUUAAUUUCCCAUCAUAAUAGUAUAAGUCGUGUCCAUGCCCACCGACCCAUCCUCAUAAUAAAAUAAACGCAGUUGACGACAAUUGCUGUCUCAAGCGCUCCAUGUACGUCAACAUUUCAAUUGACAUUUUGCGUAAGCAGUUAGAUGCGAAAUCCUAUAGCUUGUUUCUACGUAGGAUGUCGUUAGCUGCGUCGUUCUCUCUCUUACGACGUAAGCAGAUCGAUGCAAAGUUGUUUGUUGUUGCGUGUGGCUAAUGAAGACCGCUACGAGGGCUGGUGUUACGGGAAAUUACACGUGUAUUUUUGUCUUUUGGUUAAAAAAAAAAAAAUAAAGCAAAACAAAAAAAAAAUCUCACUGAUUAACCUUUCCCUAGCACUAAAUGGCAACUAAACCACAAACAGUGUAGAAGCGAUGCAACAUAGAGGAGGGACCACCUGGUUAAUGUAGAUGUAACAUGACAGUAUGUAUGACUAGAUUAUUGUUCGGUAUGAUGAUGUGUUAUUUAUAUUUGCUUUAUGAUUGGGCCAUUGUCACAAGAAAAAUCUAUAGCUUGAGGUAUGUUGUCAAAUUGUGUCCGACUGUGUCAUAAUAGGUCAUUGAUACAAGGACAAAGCAGAAGCAAGUUAUUAUUGGGUUAAUUAUAAUAUGACAGUAUUGCAUAUUGUUAUAUGGUAUGUGAUUUUGUUACGCCCAGAUAGAAAAUGAAAGUGUUAAUAUAUUGUGUUAAGUGAUAUCGUACUACUACUUACUCCCUUUUUAACAUGUAACUCAGGGGUGCCCCAGUCAGAUACGAGAGACCCCCUAACCCCCCAGAUUUUGAUGUCCCCCUCCUCCAGCACACCCGAUUCAAAUGAUCGGCUCAUCAGCAAGCUUUGCAGAAAGAAGCCUGAUAACGAUGUUGACCAUUUGAAUCGGAUGUGUAUGCAGCUAAUUCAUCACCCCCGAUUGCAUUACACUGUAUGUGCAUUCACACACAGGAGAAAGAGGAAAAGCAACUGAUUUUGUGUUGCUCGAGCUAAAUGUACAUGCAGGAUACGGGUCAAAUGUUCAAAGAGCAUACCUUGCAUGUGGAGAGUUGAUCUUGCAGGUAAUACCCCGAUAUUCCAGCUUUUCAGGCUCCAUCCCACACGGGAAUGCGGUUUGGCGCUCUUCAUCCGCUGUUCCGGUGCCAUGGUCAACAUGAAUUGCUUUCACUUGAGGACUUGAGUCGCAAGCCAAGAGUUUCGGGAAGUGCAAGCGUGAAAAACUUGCUCCUCUUGUAUUUUCAUGGAAGAAUAAAUUCACUCCUCCGAGGAAGGGCCAAUGAUUCGCACAGAAGUGACUUCCAAAUAGACAAGUGACCUUGGGUUCGCAGGAUCUCCAGAAGAGGCGUGCCAACUGGUGUUCGAGGGUGAGUUCCCGUGAGAUUUGGGUGGAUGACACUGCCUCAUUAAAGUCAGCUGGAAAAGGCUCCAGGCCAAACCCAAGUUGAUCUGUGACAAAUAGAAGAUGCCCCUCAUCAAGGACAUCAAGCAUGCAGCUCCUGCAGGACAUUGCGUGUCUUGUCAAAAGGGGAAGUCAAAUCGGAAAUGUUCUUUACAAUGUGUUCUACGCACCCCCACUAUAGUCUAAAGAGGGCAUUCUAAUUUGUGGAAAGUGAGCUCAGCAGAAAAAUCCACCUAUCGCGGGGUGGCCAUUUUUUCUCAUUGACAGAAAAUGACAUCACAGUGCCUAAAAGAUCGGGUAAUGACCGUCGACGGCUCACCUUUCUGAAAAUGGUCAUGUGCUGUUUGCAAGAUGAGCAUUUAGGCACUGAUGUUAUUUUCAGCCGACAGCAAGUGACAGUACAAACUGGCUGUACCCUGAGAUGGAUCAAAACAGGUAGAUUUUGCUGCUUAAUACACAGCCUCCUCUUUGGGGGUUGGCCCCAAGACGCUGACAGAGAGAAACCUAUUCUGAUGACUGCUCAGAGGUAGAUCAGGAAGAUGGCGUCAAAUGUGGCGAUUGCACAACUGCCGCAUGGGAUAGGAAAGGCAAAGGCGAAAAGCGGGGAAGGGGAUUUAGACCCUCUAAUCGGGGCCAAGAAAAGUAAACCAGGUUUGGAGUAAAUUAGCUCAGAUGAAGGGAGUGGUUGUUGCGAUGUGCAAAGUCAAUCAAAGAUAUUCUAAAUGUGGAGGUGGUCAUGGAGGGAAUUCGAUCAAGAGGGUAGGAGAAGCUGACUGCUGAUUGGCUUAUUUUUUUGCUCUUAGGAAAGUGAAAUACAUGAGUUGGUGGCAGUAAUGAAUUGUUGGAGUACGUUGCCAACCGCAUAACAAUUCCAACAGAAGAAUACUUAAUUCAUAUUCCACAUACACAAUAUUAACGAAUACCAUGUUUAGAUUAGUGGGGGUGCUUAGAAAAGACUUUUUUUUUUAAACUUACCCUUUAAAUGUGGCAAUACAUUUUGAGGUGUGUUCCAAUAUUCUAACACAACAUGAGCAAAUAGGGGCUUAUUUUAAAUACAUCUAUUUCUGCACUACACAGAAUGAAGGUCAAACAAUCGUUUGGGAACUGUAGUUUACUUUGCUUCAUUACAUGUCACUGAUUUAUUUUCAUCUCUCCAUCCAUCAAUCCAUCCAUUUUCUAUUCCGCUCAUACAA